AUUGAACGCUGGCGGCAGGCCUAACACAUGCAAGUCGGACGAGUGGCGGACGGGUGAGUAAUGUAUGUGGAACUGCCUGAUGGAGGGGGAUAACUACUGGAAACGGUAGCUAAUACCGCAUACCAUCGGAUGUGCCCAGAUGGGAUUAGCUGGUAGGUGGGGUAACGGCUCACCUAGGCGACGAUCCCUAGCUGGUCUGAGAGGAUGACCAGCCACACUGGAACUGAGACACGGUCCAGACUCCUACGGGAGGCAGCAGUGGGGAAUAGUGCACAAUGGGCUGAAGCCUGAUGCAGCCAUGCCGCGUGUAUGAAGAAGGCCUGCGGGUUGUAAAGUACUUUCAGCGGGGAGGCGUUACCGGCAGAAGAAGCACCGGCUAACUCCGUGCCAGCAGCCGCGGUAAUUC
rnacentral:rRNA from 1 species